rnacentral:tRNA from 1 species
GGAGAGGUGGCCGAGUGGCUGAAGGCGCACGCUUGGAAAGCGUGUAUAUCCUUACGGGUAUCGGGGGUUCGAAUCCCUUCCUCUCCGC